AUGGUUUUCCCAGGAAGGGGAAGGAUCCGUGUCGAUGCUGACAGUGUUCAGAGGGUAUUUGAUUUCCCAAACAGGGGUCAAAAAGUCAGAUAUUUAGUUAACAAGGAUGCCACUAGGAGAUUCAGAGAGGCUUUCAAUAUAACUGGAAAUUCUCAUCCCCAGAUCACUACAUGGCUCAAGAUGAUUCAGGAUAUGACUGGAAGAACGGAUGCCACAUUCUUUAUGGCAUGGCUUGCGAUACUAUACCUUGAUGCGCUCGUACAUGACAUCCCAGUAAGCAAUUGCGCGAUACGAUGGAAUGCAUGGGAUAGCACUCUAAUUGCCAAGGUGAUCAAGAAGAAUAUUAUCUCUCCUGGUGUGUUCGGCAAAUUAUAA
rnacentral:rRNA from 1 species